GAGACUCCUGUAUGGAGCAGGACUUGCUUCAGUGGGGCUUUGACGUUCACUGAGUCUGCCCCUUGAGUGUGUCUCU
rfam:Myotis davidii contig44799, whole genome shotgun sequence.